rnacentral:rRNA from 1 species
CGUAUCACCCAAGACAACUUUACGGAGUUGACGAUUGACGGAGCGAAGCGACGUCAAAGCGUUCAUUAAAGUCGAGUUGGCUUAGGGAUACGUUCGUUGGGUAGGGGAGCGUUCUGUAAGCCUGUGAAGGUGUGUCGUGAGGCAUGCUGGAGGUAUCAGAAGUGCGAAUGCUGACAUAAGUAACGAUAAAGCGGGUGAAAAGCCCGCUCGCCGGAAGACCAAGGGUUCCUGUCCAACGUUAAUCGGGGCAGGGUGAGUCGACCCCUAAGGCGAGGCCGAAAGGCGUAGUCGAUGGGAAACGGGUUAAUAUUCCCGUACUUGGUGUUACUGCGAAGGGGGGACGGAGAAGGCUAUGUUGGCCGGGCGACGGUUGUCCCGGUUUAAGCGUGUAGGUGUGUGUUCCAGGUAAAUCCGGUUCACUUUAACACUGAGGCGUGACGACGAGGCACUACGGUGCUGAAGCAACAAAUGCCCUGCUUCCAGGAAAAGCCUCUAAGCAUCAGGUAACACGAAAUCGUACCCCAAACCGACACAGGUGGUCAGGUAGAGAAUACCAAGGCGCUUGAGAGAACUCGGGUGAAGGAACUAGGCAAAAUGGUGCCGUAACUUCGGGAGAAGGCACGCUGACACGUAGGUGAAGUGAUUUACUCAUGGAGCUGAAGUCAGUCGAAGAUACCAGCUGGCUGCAACUGUUUAUUAAAAACACAGCACUGUGCAAACACGAAAGUGGACGUAUACGGUGUGACGCCUGCCCGGUG